GACACUCACGUUUCGGGUGCUCAGAUUUCCUGGAACCACUAAAGAAACAUGGAUUCUACUCCAGAAGAUACUGAGGCCUCUUCAACAGAAAAUAUGACUCAGAAUCUAUUCGGUUAUCCAAGAAGCAUCAGUGGGGAAGAGAUUGAAAAUAUCAAUCAAAUAUGUAAAGAAGAAAGCUUCUGGUACAGAGCGCUUCCUCUAUCUCUUGCAAGUAUGCUUAUUACUCAAGGACUAAUUACUAAAGGGAUUAUCAAGACUGCUUCUACGAAUACAGUAGUUGUUGUUGGUGCUGUGGCGUUUUUUGUUGGGAAAAUGUUAUAUGCUAAAAAAUGUACACAGAGUUUUGAAAGUCUUCUUGUGCCAUUCGGACCGGAACAGAACAGGAAACAUUAUCCUACAGAUGAAGCCAAAGCCAAUCCUCAAAUGAAAAAAACAGAUACUUCUGUUUCUUAAAACAAGCACACAUUAACAAAAUUAAUAUUUUGCUCACAUUAAUGUAUCCCCACUCUUAUGCGAAGACACUGUACAGAAUUAUGAAUAUUGGAAUAAAGUG
rnacentral:lncRNA from 1 species